rnacentral:rRNA from 1 species
UACGUAGGGUGCGAGCGUUGUCCGGCAUUAUUGGGCGUAAAGGGCUCGUCGGCGGUUUGUCGCGUCGGGAGUGAAAACUCAGGGCUUAACCCUGAGCCUGCUUCCGAUACGGGCAGACUAGAGGUAUGCAGGGGAGAACGGAAUUCCUGGUGUAGCGGUGAAAUGCGCAGAUAUCAGGAGGAACACCGGUGGCGAAGGCGGUUCUCUGGGCAUGUCCUGACGCUGAGGAGCGAAAGUGUGGGGAGCGAACAGG